AGUAACGCGUGAGGAACCUGCCUCAAAGAGGGGGACAACAGUUGGAAACGACUGCUAAUACCGCAUAAGCCCACGGUGCCGCAUGGCACAGAGGGAAAAGGAGCAAUCCGCUUUGAGAUGGCCUCGCGUCCGAUUAGCUAGUUGGUGAGGUAACGGCCCACCAAGGCGACGAUCGGUAGCCGGACUGAGAGGUCGAACGGCCACAUUGGGACUGAGACACGGCCCAG
rnacentral:rRNA from 1 species